AAUAGCUCACUGGUCGAGUGAUCCUGCGCCGAAGAUUUCCGGGGCUAAAACUUACUACCGAAGCUACGGCAUCAGUAAUGAUGGGUAGGGGAGCUUCCCAUACGGGUUGAAGCAUGACCGUAAGGACCUGUGGACAGUAUGGGAGUGAGAAUGUUGGCAUGAGUAGCGAGAUGUGGGUGAGAAUCCCACAGGCCGUAAACCCAAGGUUUCCAGGGGAAGGUUCGUCCGCCCUGGGUUAGUCGGGACCUAAGCUGA
rnacentral:rRNA from 1 species